CUUAACAGCAGAAUCAAAUAAACAAAAUGAAUUUUUACUGCCCGCAUUCCAAAAAAACACACACACGAAUCUUCAAUAAUACUCCAUUUCCUGGCAUAAAAAGCCCAAGGACCGUACAUUAAAGUUUAAUGUCGGGAGUGAAAAUGUGUAGCCAUAAAAAUCAUUUAAAUGUUUGUUUUUCCGAGAACCCAUCCCAUCCUCUUUUAUUGUCACGUGUGAAAAUACUUUUGGGAGUCUGACAAAGCCGGCUUAAAUUUUAAUAGAUAUGUUACAAUUUUGAUUUGAAAAGUGCCUGGAAGAGCACACGACUAGCUCUCUGACAUAACCACUUUGUACUGCAGAAAAAUGCGUUAACAUUUCGAUCGAACAAUGAAGUAAAAUAUGCGAGACUUGGAAAAUGCCAGGAAUAAACCAAGGGACGGCAAAAAGUCAACAGUGAACGGGAACGAGCGGCCAAAAAUAAAUUUCCAGCCGCAAAUCCUUGACAAAUCUGCUGCAUUGGCUUUGGCGGCGGUCCUUCGAGAUACAUCUUUAUUGCCUCAUUUUGCCUAAAGUCGAUUCUAUUUGUAUACUCUGCCAAGGGGCGCGCUUGAAUUUGUCGAGCGUUUGACAUUUCAAAGGUUAAAAAAGUUUUUAUUAUAUGUGUGUUUGAAUUUAAAGCAACUUGACAUUGAGCGAAAUAUCUAUUGAGAUACUCAACCACAUACUCCUUAGCUUUCUUAGCCACAGGCCAUCUAAAAAGUGUAUUUAACCGUUGACAACAGUGAAGUAGGUAUUUUUUAAAUUUCCAAGAGUUACUUCAGUUUUUUGCGAGCAUUUCUCCUUUUUUUGUGGUCAAAACUAAGAGGGUUUAAGGCAGUGUCUUCGGAGUGCGGAGUGGAAAAAAAAGAAAAGGGCUCAGGGAGAUAACAUGGCUGAGGAAAAGUCCGCAUUGAAACGGUAGUCAACAAUGGCAACACGACUACAUCAGGACGAAACUUUUCCGGAAAAGCAGGCGAAAUAAAAACCUUAAGUAUUUCAAACAGCCGGGAGAAGCGGAAAAUAUGAUAUGUAAACGGGUAAACUUAUAUUCGUGACCAUUAAGACUCUGGCUCUCCUCCGUUGAGUAAACAGUACACACUUUUUCACUUCUGCAGCUACUUCUCGAAAAAUUGUCUAUUUUCAUGGGGUUAAAGUAUUGUUAAAGUGUGGAAAAAUGAAUGAGCGAGAAGUUGCGAGUAUAUUAUACUUACAUUAUGAAUGUAUCGCCGUCAUGUGAGAGUCCAGUCCGUGCACCUUGAGUGUAAUUUAAAUACAACCGGAUAAAAUUACGAAGUGCCGGAUACGGAUGCUGUGCAAACAUACAGCCACGACAGAAUCCAAAACUUGAUGUUUACUUUUCCGCAGCUGAUGAUUUUCCCGGCGCUUCGUUGCUUGGCUUUUCAUGCGUAGAUUGCUCAUACAGCCUCCAUUCCAUAUUAUUUUACACUAUUUUUUCCGUCGAACUUUCCGGCAGACACUUCCUUAUUAUUCUUUGUCCAGCACGGAAAUUAAUUUAAUUACUCUUAUUUUGUUUAUUUAGCAUUUCAGGGAGCCGUUAAUUGCCGGUUUGCAUUAAUGGUUCGCUAAUCAGUUGCAAACACAAACAAAAGGGCAUUCCAUCCUGUUCGAAAUGAACACUUAUAGCUGGUAAAUAAUGUGUAGUGUAUUUGCCGGACUACAAAUGCAAUUGAAUUGAACCUGAUUCGAAUUCAAUGGGGAAAUUAAAUUCGCAUUUGAUCGAGUUUGCAUGGAACUAUAUUCAAUUGAGUGCAAUCAAAGGCAAGAUUGUUUGUCAGCAUAUUGGCAUGCUGGAAUUCAAAGACUACCAAGUGGGAUAUAUGUAUGUACAUACAUGCGGAUAAUGAAAUCAAGAAGUGGGGCGUAUGAUUCACUAUCAGCCUAAUGAACUUAAAGUUGUAAGGAUGCUGUAAAAGAUCUAUCUAUAAGCGAAUGGAAACCCCUGAAAAAUUGCAAUACAAGCUAACAAAUUGA